rnacentral:rRNA from 1 species
GUGGGGAAUAUUGGACAAUGGGCGAAAGCCUGAUCCAGCCAUGCCGCGUGUGUGAAGAAGGUCUUCGGAUUGUAAAGCACUUUAAGUUGGGAGGAAGGGCAUUAACCUAAUACGUUAGUGUUUUGACGUUACCGACAGAAUAAGCACCGGCUAACUUCGUGCCAGCAGCCGCGGUAAUACGAAGGGUGCAAGCGGUAAUCGGAAUUACUGGGCGUAAAGCUCGCGUAGGUGGUUCGUUAAGUUGGAUGUGAAAGCCCCGGGCUCAACCUGGGAACUGCAUCCAAAACUGGCGAGCUAGAGUACGGUAGAGGGUGGUGGAAUUUCCUGUGUAGCGGUGAAAUGCGUAGAUAUAGGAAGGAACACCAGUGGCGAAGGCGACCACCUGGACUGAUACUGACACUGAGGUGCGAAAGCGUGGGGAGCAAACAGGAUUAGAUACCCUUGUAGUCC